AAUUUAACUUAAAAACGUUGUUUUGGCGCCAAGCUGCUGUUUCUUUGAGAGAUCCUGCCUUUACCUGCUCCCUCCUAUACUGAUGUGGUGUAUGUGGUACCGCUGAGCUUGUAUGUGAUCUGAACCAUUGUAAAGGUUGCAGUUCAAGGGCCUGAGGUGGAAGCAGAAUUUGUGAGGAUUACUACUGCUCCACUUGUUCCAAGGCUUUUUGCACAACUUGAACAAUACACUGACCAGCUCAUAAAAGUCUUCAAGAAAAAAGGAGGCGCUGCAGUGAAGAAAAUUAGACAAAUUUUGG